rnacentral:rRNA from 1 species
AUACGUAGGGGGCUAGCGUUAUCCGGAAUUACUGGGCGUAAAGGGUGCGUAGGUGGUUUCUUAAGUCAGAAGUGAAAGGCUACGGCUCAACCGUAGUAAGCUUUUGAAACUAAGAGACUUGAGUGCAGGAGAGGAGAGUAGAAUUCCUAGUGUAGCGGUGAAAUGCGUAGAUAUUAGGAGGAAUACCAGUUGCGAAGGCGGCUCUCUGGACUGUAACUGACACUGAGGCACGAAAGCGUGGGGAGCAAACAGGAUUAGAUACCCUGGUAGUCCACGCCGUAAACGAUGAGUACUAGCUGUCGGGGGUUACCCCCCUCGGUGGCGCAGCUAACGCAUUAAGUACUCCGCCUGGGAAGUACGCUCGCAAGAGUGAAACUCAAAUGAAUUGACGGGG